rnacentral:lncRNA from 1 species
GUUACUGGAAAAUCUUCCCCGUUCUAUCAUCCAGAGGUUGGAAGAAAGAAGGUGAUAUGGUUGGGUGGCAGUUGACGACAUGUAGGCAGGACUUCUUCAGUGGUUUGUGGAGUUCAGCCUAGAUCUAGAGAAGUGAAAGUAAGGCUUUCUCUCUGCAUCUUGGAAGGGAGGAGGGAGGCUUAUCAGAUGGGCCACGCGCCCCUGCCUGUUGAAUUGCCGUCACUCCGCCUCGGGGACCAUAUUUAGUGUGAGAGGUAAAAGCUAAAAAUCAUCUGGCCAUAGUCUUCAUGGGUCACUGGUGUUUGAAAACGAAUCCGCACGAAUCCGGUUUAGAGGAUAAGUUUUCUCCUCUGUCAGGUGGCUGUGGCAUUGAACUUCAGGAAAUGUGUCCCUAAACACAUGUGGUUCUUUUUGGGCAGUUUUAAUUUCCUGCCCUUGUCAGCACUUCAGCCAUCGUCGGCAAGGCUCUUGUUUCCACUGUAUCAUCCACACACUAGGUUUGGCCCCCUUGGCUUUGCAGGUAGACAUUUUGUUGAGUUUAGAUGGGGCUAGCAAAAUGACUCAGUGGGUAAAGGCUGCCAGUCUCAAAACCCUGAGUUCCAUCCAGGGGACCCCCGUGAUGAAAGGCUUGAGUUGAAAGUUGACCUCCGACCUUCAUGUGUGCACCGUGGCAUGUGAACUCACACAAAAUAAAUAAGAAAAAAAAAAUCAGAGCCGGGCAGUGUUGGUGCUUGCCUUUAGUGCCAGCAUUCGGGAAGCUGAGGCAGGUAGAUCUCUGAGUUCGAGACCAGCCUGGUCUAGAGAGUUCCAGGACAGCUGGGACUACACAGAGAAACCCUGUCUUGACCCCCACCCCCACCAAAAACAAAAUCAGGAUUGCUUUUGUAUAUUUCCUAGUGUAUCUGUUUAGUGAUUUUUUUUUUUAAACAAAAAGACAAGAAACAGAACUCUUGGGUCCUUUUGUUCUGAACCUGAUCUCUUAGAUUUUUACUCAAAAGUAAAAUGUAGGCAGUCCCCCUGAGGAGCAGCCCCUCUGCCCCCACACUUGGGUGGGUUUACUCUCUGUGGCUCCUUUCUGAGAGGACCACGCUUAUGCUCUCAGGUGUGGCCUACCUUCUGAGUGCCUCUUUUUCUUAACCUUCAUCUUUACGCCUAUCCUACAUAAUAACCCCCAACUCUGCCGCCUCAAAAUAAAGUAGAAAAUGAAAAUUUUGGGUGUGGUGGCGCAGGCUUUAAUUGUAGCACUUGCGUGACCGAGGGAAGAACACCAGAAGUUCAAAGAGAUACGUGAGACCCUUGUACAAAAAAAUAGUGUGUCCCCAGCUAGGCACUAAGGCUACACAGAGAGACCUUGCCUCAGGAAACAAAACAAAACAAAAAAACCCAUAACCCCUAAACAUGAGUCAUUAUUAGUCUAGAUUUAUGGCUUGUUAUUUGAAUGGAAGACACUAUUGAACAUUUUUUUUUCUUUGCUCUUUGCUUUCGGUACUAGCUAAAGCCAGGAGUAUCCUUGGAGCCUUAACUGGUGUUCGGUGUCUGAGCUCUGUUUUGGAGGCUGGCACGGGUCAUAAAAGGUUCUGAAUCCAGUAACUAAUCCUGGAGUUGAUAGGACACAGACCUCCCUUCUGUGUCUCCUCACUGUCUAAUAGAUGUCCCUGCUCUCCAGCUGAAAUAUUGAGAGAGCAGAAAGGGCAAUUUAUAGUCUCUCUUUCUCUCUCCCUCUGAACUCAGCCCCUCUGUGCCUGCUCCAGUGCGUGUUGUCUUCUGGUCCCUUGCCAGUGUCUUGCUGGCUACGGGUCUUGGCAGCGGCUCCCUUGAAGCAAGUGAGCCUAAGCUUUGGGCCACUGAAAUUAGGAAGGAGAUCCAUGGUCCCUGUCACUUCUUCCAAAGCGCUUCUCCUCCCUCUCAUAUCGAGAUUCCAGUUAUUAGACUUUUACAUUUUAAAUAAUGAGACUGACCGUUUAGUAUUGCAGAUGUAAUUUUUGAAAGAAGUAUGUCUUGGUGCUUAAAGUGACGCUUAUGAUUUGGGGUAAGAGACAGAUGGCAAUGAUAUCAUUUAGAUCUUUGUUUUAUGUGUAAACAGUGCCGUGCUGUUGAUUUCCAAAGUUAAUAAAGCUGUAGGAAAGACUAGUUUUGAAUGUAUAUUAGAUCAUGUUAAUAAGAUUCAGUCUUCUGAGAUGUUAUUUGUAACAUUAAAGCUAAGUUAUUGUAAUGUUAACUGAGAUGCUGUAAUAUAUGGACGUUUUCCCCAGAAGUACAUUUGGCUUAAUAAAAGCUAAAAAGCUUUUUAGGCACAAAACUUGAUUGGGACACAAUCAAGUUGACAACUUUUAAACACAGAUGGCUUGACCUUCAGAUAAAGAAGGGUAUAAUUAUGUCGAACAGCAACAUUCAAAGGGAGGCUGGUUCUGUCCUUUUGACCGUCAGUUUCUGUUCUUCCUUGGACAGUGGUAACCUCCCAGGUUAAACCAGAAUAUUCUGGAAUGGAGCCAUUGCAGUGCCGAGUCUUUGAAGUGCUGCAGCUGCUGUGGAAGCACCCUGUUAACUGAGGAUCAAAGCUAGUGGUGCAGUUCAUGCUGCAAAUGGUCAUGUGUGUAGCCUGGUGGGGGAGGCACGUUUAGGCUGCUGUGUAACUGUUUCCUGAGCCGCUGAGGUCCCCUGCUUUCUUCCUUUGGUUCCCGGUGUCUAACUUGCCUCCUGGAAAAUAUUUCUUACUAAGCAUUUUCUUGGAACAAUCAUUAACCAUGAUCUUUAAUAAUUACUGGCAUUUGUAUUUCAAACUGUGUACCGGUGUCCCUAUCUGACACUGAUUUUCUAAACUUUGAAGAUAUUUAAGUAGAACUUUUAAAUAAAAGAUGC